AUUGAACGCUGGCGGCAUGCUUUACACAUGCAAGUCGAACGGUAACAGGCCUUCGGGUGCUGACGAGUGGCGAACGGGUGAGUAAUGCAUCGGAACGUGCCCAAUCGUGGGGGAUAACGUAGCGAAAGUUACGCUAAUACCGCAUAAGCCCUGAGGGGGGAAAGUGGGGGACCGCAAGGCCUCACGCGAAUGGAGCGGCCGAUGUCAGAUUAGCUAGUUGGUGGGGUAAAGGCCCACCAAGGCGACGAUCUGUAGCGGGUCUGAGAGGAUGAUCCGCCACACUGGAACUGAGACACGGUCCAGACUCCUACGGGAGGCAGCAGUGGGGAAUUUUGGACAAUGGGCGCAAGCCUGAUCCAGCCAUGCCGCGUGAGUGAAGAAGGCC
rnacentral:rRNA from 1 species